GCUGGUACUCCAGGGUACCUGUCCCCAGAGGUCUUGAGGAAAGAUCCUUAUGGCAAACCUGUGGACAUGUGGGCCUGCGGUGUGAUUCUCUACAUUCUGCUGGUUGGAUAUCCACCAUUUUGGGAUGAAGACCAGCAUCGCCUCUAUCAGCAGAUUAAGGCUGGUGCAUAUGACUUUCCUUCUCCUGAGUGGGACACAGUGAC